GAUGAAGAACGUAGCGAAAUGCGAUAAGUAAUGUGAAUUGCAGAAUUCAGUGAAUCAUCGAAUCUUUGAACGCACAUUGCGCCCGCCAGUAUUCUGGCGGGCAUGCCUGUUCGAGCGUCAUUUCAACCAUCAAGCCCCAGGCUUGUGUUGGGGACCUGCGGCUGCCGCAGGCCCUGAAAACCAGUGGCGGGCUCGCUGUCACACCGGGCGUAGUAGAUUUUAUCUCGCUCAGGGCGUGCUGCGGGUUCCGGCCGUUAAAAAGCCUUUUUUACCCAAGGUUGACCUCGGAUCAGGUAGGAAGACCCGCCGAACUUAAGCAUAUCAAUAAGCGGAGGA
rnacentral:misc_RNA from 1 species